rnacentral:rRNA from 1 species
AUUGAACGCUGGCGGCAGGCUUAACACAUGCAAGUCGAGCGGAGAUGAGGUGCUUGCACCUUAUCUUAGCGGCGGACGGGUGAGUAAUGCUUAGGAAUCUGCCUAUUAGUGGGGGACAACAUUCCGAAAGGAAUGCUAAUACCGCAUACGUCCUACGGGAGAAAGCAGGGGAUCUUCGGACCUUGCGCUAAUAGAUGAGCCUAAGUCGGAUUAGCUAGUUGGUGGAGUAAAGGCCUACCAAGGCGACGAUCUGUAGCGGGUUUGAGAGGAGGAUCCGCCACACUGGGACUGAGACACGGCCCAGACUCCUACGGGAGGCAGCAGUGGGGAAUAUUGGACAAUGGGCGGAAGCCUGAUCCAGCCAUGCCGCGUGUGUGAAGAAGGCCUUUUGGUUGUAAAGCACUUUAAGCGAGGAGGAGGCUACCUAGAUUAAUACUCUGGGAUAGUGGACGUUACUCGCAAAAUAAGCACCGGCUAACUCUGUGCCAGCCGCCGCCGUAAUAC